rnacentral:rRNA from 1 species
UACAGAGGGGGCAAGCGUUAUUCGGAAUUAUUGGGCGUAAAGGGCGCGUAGGCGGCUUUUCAAGUGACGGGUGAAAUCCCUCGGCUUAACCGAGGAACUGCCUGUCAGACUGGAAGGCUUGAGACCGGGAGAGGUGAGUGGAAUUCCCAGUGUAGCGGUGAAAUGCGUAGAUAUUGGGAGGAACACCAGUGGCGAAGGCGGCUCACUGGACCGGAACUGACGCUGAGGCGCGAAAGCGUGGGUAGCAAACAGG